UACGGAGGGAGCAAGCGUUGUUCGGAUUUACUGGGCGUAAAGGGCGCGUAGGCGGCCACCGCAAGUCGGUUGUGAAAUCUCCGGGCUUAACCCGGAAAGGUCAAUCGAUACUGCGGGGCUAGAGUGCAGAAGGGGCAACUGGAAUUCUCGGUGUAGCGGUGAAAUGCGUAGAUAUCGAGAGGAACACCUGCGGCGAAGGCGGGUUGCUGGGCUGACACUGACGCUGAAGCGCGAAAGCGAGGGGAGCGAACGGG
rnacentral:rRNA from 1 species